rnacentral:rRNA from 1 species
CUGAAUAUGGGGGGACCAUCCUCCAAGGCUAAAUACUCCUGACUGACCGAUAGUGAACCAGUACCGUGAGGGAAAGGCGAAAAGAACCCCGGCGAGGGGAGUGAAAAAGAACCUGAAACCGUGUACGUACAAGCAGUGGGAGCCUCUUAAUGGGGUGACUGCGUACCUUUUGUAUAAUGGGUCAGCGACUUAUAUUCUGUAGCAAGGUUAACCGAAUAGGGGAGCCGAAGGGAAACCGAGUCUUAACUGGGCGUUAAGUUGCAGGGUAUAGACCCGAAACCCGGUGAUCUAGCCAUGGGCAGGUUGAAGGUUGGGUAACACUAACUGGAGGACCGAACCGACUAAUGUUGAAAAAUUAGCGGAUGACUUGUGGCUGGGGGUGAAAGGCCAAUCAAACCGGGAGAUAGCUGGUUCUCCCCGAAAGCUAUUUAGGUAGCGCCUCGUGAAUUCAUCUCCGGGGGUAGAGCACUGUUUCGGCAAGGGGGUCAUCCCGACUUACCAACCCGAUGCAAACUGCGAAUACCGGAGAAUGUUAUCACGGGAGACACACGGCGGGUGCUAACGUCCGUCGUGAAGAGGGAAACAACCCAGACCGCCAGCUAAGGUCCCAAAGUCAUGGUUAAGUGGGAAACGAUGUGGGAAGGCCCAGACAGCCAGGAUGUUGGCUUAGAAGCAGCCAUCAUUUAAAGAAAGCGUAAUAGCUCACUGGUCGAGUCGGCCUGCGCGGAAGAUGUAACGGGGCUAAACCAUGCACCGAAGCUGCGGCAGCGACACUAUGUGUUGUUGGGUAGGGGAGCGUUCUGUAAGCCUGUGAAGGUGGCCUGUGAGGGUUGCUGGAGGUAUCAGAAGUGCGAAUGCUGACAUAAGUAACGAUAAAGCGGGUGAAAAGCCCGCUCGCCGGAAGACCAAGGGUUCCUGUCCAACGUUAAUCGGGGCAGGGUGAGUCGACCCCUAAGGCGAGGCCGAAAGGCGUAGUCGAUGGGAAACAGGUUAAUAUUCCUGUACUUGGUGUUACUGCGAAGGGGGGACGGAGAAGGCUAUGUUGGCCGGGCGACGGUUGUCCCGGUUUAAGCGUGUAGGCUGGUUUUCCAGGCAAAUCCGGAAAACCAAGGCUGAGGCGUGAUGA